CCUACGGGUGGCAGCAGUGAGGAAUAUUGGUCAAUGGGCGCGAGCCUGAACUAGCCAAGUAGCGUGAAGGCUGACUGCCCUACGGGUUGUAAUCUUCUUUUAUAAAGGAAUAAAGUGAGGCACGUGUGACUUUUUGUAUGUACUUUAUGAAUAAGGAUCGGCUAACUCCGUGCCCGCAGCCGCGGAAAUACGGAGGAUCCGAGCGUUAUCCGGUUUUAUUGGGUUUAAAGGGAGCGUAGAUGGGUUGUUAAGUCAGUUGUGAAAGUUUGCGGCUCAACCGUAAAAUUGCAAUUGAUACUGGCAGUCUUGAGUACAGUUGAGGUAGGCGGAAUUCGUGGUGUAGCGGUGAAAUGCUUAGAUAUCACGAAGAACGCCGAUUGCGAAGGCAGCUUACUAAACUGCCACUGACAUUGAUGCUCGAAAGUGUGGAUAUCAAACAGGAUUAGAUACCCUUGUAGUC
rnacentral:rRNA from 1 species